GGGUGAUACCAUAGGGAUCUAUUAUAUUUAUAGAUUGAAAUAUGACUAAAAUUAGGAGGGCUUUGGAAAAAUCUUGUUAUGAUGUGGCUUAAAUUUUGGGUAUAUUUUCACAAAAUAUUUGUGAGCUAUGCAGCAUUAGUAGAGGACAUGGGUAUGAAUCAAUAUAAACAUUAUAAAAUUUGCCUAUUUCAAUAUAUCAUGAGAGUUUGGGUAAAUCUACUGGGCUAGAGUUCAGAGAGUUCUAAGAUAUUAUAACUUAUUUUUUUAAUCGUAGUGAAAUUUUUUCUCUCGUGUCUUGUUGAACUUUAUAAUUUAAUCACGUAAAUCUUGUUUCUUCAUUCUUUUUUCUUUAUGCUGUGUUUGUGUGAUUAUUUGUAUACCUUAAAUUAAUCUGCUUGUUAUAACAAACCUCUUACCAAUGCAAAUCCGAUGCAUAACAU
rnacentral:misc_RNA from 1 species